GUCGAGAAUCUUCCGCAAUGCGCGAAAGCGUGACGGAGCGACACCGCGUGAUGGAUGAAGUCCUUCGGGGCGUAAACAUCUUUUAUAAAGGAGGAAAUUUUUGACGUUACUUUAUGAAUAAGGGGCUCCCAAUCUCGUGCCAGCAGGAGCAGUAAUACGAGAGCCUCAAGCGUUAUCCGGAAUCAUUGGGCGUAAAGGGUGCGUAGGUGGUUUGAUUAGUCUCCCGUUAAAACUUCGAGCUUAACUCGAAAAGAGCGGGGGAAACGGUCAAACUAGAGUAUGUGAGAGGUGUGUGGAACUCAUGGUGUAGGGGUGAAAUCCGUUGAUAUCAUGGGGAACACCAAAAGCGAAGGCAGCACACUGGCACAUCACUGACACUGAGGCACGAAACCUAAGGUAGCGAAUGGGAUUAGAUACCCUGGUAGUCC
rnacentral:rRNA from 1 species